UGCCAGCAGCCGCGGUAAUACGUAGGGUGCAAGCGUUAUCCGGAAUUACUGGGCGUAAAGAGUGUGUAGGCGGUCUUUUAAGUUAGAUGUUAAAUCUGCGGGCUCAACUCGUAGGCUGCAUCUAAUACUGGGAGACUUGAGAGUGGAAGGGGCUGACGGAAUUUUCGGUGGAGCGGUAAAAUGCGUAGAUAUCGAAAAGAACACCAAUGGCGAAGGCAGUCAGCUGGGCCAUUUCUGACGCUGAGACACGAAAGCGUGGGGAGCGAUCGGGAUUAGAUACCCCGGUAGUCCACGCCGUAAACGAUCUCUACUAGCUUUUUCGGGCAUCGACCCCUGGAGAAGCGAAGCUAACGCGUUAAGUAGAGCGCCUGGGGAGUACGAGCGCAAGCUUAAAACUUAAAGGAAUUGGCGGGGGA
rnacentral:rRNA from 1 species